UUACUACUCCUUCCAUCCCAAAAUUCUUGUCUUAGAUUAGUCUAGAUACGGAUGUAUCUAAUAUUAAAAUGUGACUUGAUACAUCUGUAUUUAGACAAAUGUAAGACAAGAAUUUUAAAACGGAGGAAGUAGCUA
rfam:Triticum aestivum genome assembly, contig: Triticum_aestivum_CS42_TGACv1_scaffold_578017_7BL